UAAGCUGUAGCUUAAAUAGCAUCUCAGUUACGUUGAGAAGAUCACUAGUAAGUUUAGUGUAGCUUAA
rnacentral:tRNA from 1 species